AAAAUAACAAUGAUUUCCUUAGUAACGGCGAGUGAAGAGGAAAAAGCUCAAAGUUGUAACCUAUUUGGCUUAGCCAAAUCGGAUUGUAGACUGGAGAAGUGUUUUAUGGCACGCCGAGUGAAAAAGUCCCUUGGAACAGGGCAUCAUAGAGGGUGAGAAUCCCGUGAAUUCACUUGAGUAUAUGUUGUCAACUUUAAUACACUUUCAAAGAGUCAGGUUGUUUGGGAAUGCAGCCUAAAUUGGGUGGUAAAUCUCACCUAAAGCUAAAUAUUGGCGAGAGACCGAUAGCGAACAAGUACCGUGAGGGAAAGAUGAAAAGAACUUUGAAAAGAGAGUUAAACAGUACGUGAAAUUGUUAAAAGGGAACCGUUUGGAGCCAGACCGGCUUUAUCGUAAUCAAUCUAGGUUUCGACCUGGAUGCACUUGCGGUAGAUUUGCCUGCCAACGACAGUUUUUUUUGAGGGAAAAAACUAGGAGGAAUGUGGCCCUUAACUUGUUAGGGGUGUUAUAGCCUUUUAGAAAAUACCUUGAAUUGGACUGAGGAACGCAGCGAAUGCUCUUUAGGGCGAAAUAGUUGAGUGCUUUGGCUGAUAGAUGCUAGAAUUUCUGCUUCGGGUGGUGCUAGUGUUUAAAGGUUAAACUCGCUUGAUUCAUUUUUUAUUCGCUUAGGUUGUUGGCUUAAUGACUCUAAAUGAC
rnacentral:rRNA from 1 species